UCGCCUACGGGAGGCAGCUGUGAGGAAUAUUGGUCAAUGGGCGCGAGCCUGAACCAGCCAAGUCGCGUGAGGGAUGACGGCCCUACGGGUUGUAAACCUCUUUUGUCGGGGAGCAAAUUCAGUUACGUGUAACGGAGUCGAGAGUACCCGAAGAAAAAGCAUCGGCUAACUCCGUGCCAGCAGCCGCGGUAAUACGGAGGAUGCGAGCGUUAUCCGGAUUUAUUGGGUUUAAAGGGUGCGUAGUCGGACUGUCAAGUCAG
rnacentral:rRNA from 1 species